rnacentral:lncRNA from 1 species
CCUCCUCCAUGGGGUGACGGUCUACACAGGCAGUGCAAGGAUGGGGUGGAGGUCACAAAGACCUGGGUGGAGCCGGGCUAACAAAAAUUCAGUUGGUCUCUUUCAAAAACCUGCGGAGAGUCUCAGUCUCUUAAUGAAAUUUGCGUAAUAAAAGCUCCAGCAGCGUAACAAUAGUUGGAUUCUUCUUCUGAAAUUCACAGAACUUGCGGAUCUGCUCUGCUCAACUCUGUGGGGGAUGGAGUGUUGCUAGGAGGAGCCAGAAUACAAGGAUAACUUGGAGCACAGUUUGGAAAAGUGGAGAAAAAGGUCCCGCUGGAGUUUCAGAGAAGCAUCCCUGCAUUUUCCACCCUGGCCAGACCCGCCUGUCUGGGGACACCGGGCCAGCACCCACAGCUCUGAUUUCCUCUGGGCCGGUACAAGCCCCUCCUAGGGGACCUUUACCUCUGCCCUUUACUCGGAGGCCAUGGAUUUUAUCUUCUCUGCACCAUGAAAAGCAGGCUCCUAGGCAAUGUUUUUUGGGGAGCAAUAAAGAAUAGAGACUUGGCCAGGCGCGGUGGCUCACGCCUGUAAUCCCAGCACUUUGGGAGGCCAAGGCGAGUGGAUCACCUGAGGUUGGGAGUUCGAGACCAGCCUGACCAACAGGGAGAAACCCCGUCUCUACUAAAAAUACAAAAUUAGCCAGGUGUGGUGGCGCAUGCCUGUAAUCCAAGCUACUCGGGAGGCUGAGGCAGGAGAAUCGCUUGAACCCCAGAGGCGGAGGUUGCAGUGAGCCAUGAUCACGCCACUGCACUCCAGCCUGGGCAACAAAAGCGAAACUCCAUCUCAAAAAAAUAAAAAAAAAUAAAAAAGAAUAGAAACCAAAAUGGAGACCAUUUCCACAGGCACACGUAAGACUCGAGGGAACCCUACCAGCCUCCAACCAGAUCCACUUGGUCUGGAGGCAAAAGCACAAGUACACGAGUGUCUGCGACUGAGAAUCCUGCAGUCCCCAGACAGCCGAGGCCCCGGCCCUCCCCACUGGGCCCCUCAUCCCCAGGCCUUGGGAACAUGCUAAUAAGGUGAGGAGGCGCCACAAAACCUCGUGGGGCCAGAAGGAGUUAAUUUAAGUUCAUCUUCCUUCAAAAUGAGGUCACUAGCUUGGCACAUGGUGGCUGUCUAUAGACUCAUUCAGCAGCCCGCUCCAUUCUUCUACCUGAUGGGGGGCAGAAGUGCCCCACCAGUGGCCCCCUGGCUGGACGUGAAAUCGUAAAGCAAUUAAUCAAACCUGCUAAAAGGCCUGGCUGACAAGAGCAGGCUGGCUGAGCUAUCUGUCAAUGUUGCUGUGUUUAUCAUGGAAAUCCAGCAGGGGCCAGGGAGGCUCUGUGUCUGUCCAGGCCAGAGGCCAAGGAAAGAUGGGCCUGGCUGCGUGGGGCUCCUCUCUCCCUUGCCCAGGCGCCCAUCUCAAGGAAAAGAGAUGUCUCACAUGGGCCCUGAGGGGUAGGGGGUGUGUGUGUGUGUGUGUGUGUGCGCGUGCGUGCGUGCGUGCGUGUGUUUAGUGCGGUGUGUGUGUGACAUAGAAAGACCCUCCCAUAUCCGAGACACUAAUUAGGCUUCUUUAGGCUGCUAUUCAAGCAUGGGACACAGACCAGUUACUGCUUCGUUCUCAUCACUGUUUUCUAGGAAUCACUCAGGAUGACUUUGUGGAGGACCAACUACGAGGGGCUGCUCUGUGAGCACCAAGGGCUCACUAUGAGAACCUGUCAUGGUGAGGCAACAAUGCUCAGUCAGGGUUUAGAGACACAAGCAAAUGAAAACUUCGCCGACAAAAUAGUUUGCAAAAGGCCAAGAAAUCUAGAUCUAGCUAAUCGUCAACCUACAGGCAUCAACUAGCUGCAGUCUCACAGCGGUCAGGCUGACGGCCUGGGUAGUGUGGGACUUCUGGCAGCAUCUGGUGCAGCCUGCAAUAUCCCCAAACACUCACCAGCCCGCACACCUGCCGGCAAAUGAACACGAACCCAUACCAACUCUGAGUGGUUCAGUCUAAAAGACAACACGGUUUCUUGCAUUUUGCAAGAGCAUAAGCCCACAGUGUCUGUGAGCAGGGACGAGGGCAGCUCCUGGGAGGUGAGUGUCGGGGGGCUCCCACCUGCCCAGCUCUGGAGGUCUCUGCUGGUGAAGCAUCCCCAAGUCCUGCCUAUCCAAUACGAGCGCCCCUCAAGCAGCUAAGGGGUAUUUGGUGAUCAAAGAAAUUUGAGAAACUCUGGAGAGACGACUGUUUUCUCCACAUGCUGUCAAAUACCUAAUGAAGGCAAAUACGAAACCCAGUGACAACGGGAGUCCCCCGCUGGCAGCGAGGCCUGGCUCAGAGCCCCACGGAAGCCGAGCCCUGCUGCUACACUGGGAAGGCCCCACAGCCUCGGCCCUGGUCUCAGUAGCCUUUCUGGGUCCCAGGGCUAGCCAAGAUGAACUGCUGCCAAUGGCUGAGAAAUGUGGCUGCUCUCUCCUGGUUCUCAGUGAAGGACAGGAAGGAGCUACAGUAGCCAUGAAUGAGGGUUUCUUCCUAAUGUUCUCCAAAAUGCCCAGAAAAAACUAACACAUCAAUGUUUAUUUCCCUCCACAGAGAGUCCGUGACUCACGGUAAAUAUGCAGAAAGGAUAAAAACCAUUUUCACAUGUUACGCGGAUCAAGACCAAAUACUCAAACCUGGUAAGGGAAACAAGUGACACACUGUCGAGAAGGAAUUUUCACUGAGGAUACUGUCUCAACCGUCCCUCUAAGUUCCUUGGAGGUGAGUUAAUUACCAAUCAGUCGAUUGACAAAUGCCCCCCAUCUUGCGCAAGGUAUCUUUUCACCAAGCUAAGCUGCCCUCAACAGGCAGGGAGUUUUACUGCUGUCUCUUCAUACUCACCAGAAAUAAUACACUUUGCUCCUCACAACAGGCCCGUCAGCAGCCUCAGAGAACCAUGCCAAGCAGGGUUUCGGCAGAAGGUGGCUACUGCCUCCAGACCGGGCAGCCCCAGCCUGCAGCAGCAAAGGGACCUCACCAAAGGUUCUGGAGGUCCCGUGACCUGCCUUCCCUCAAGCCAAACAGCUGAGGGGGGAUGUGAAACCCCAGCUGCCUCUUACCUUUGCCUAUGACGAGGCCACACUUAUCGGCUGGCACCGUGUAUGUUAUCUCCUGGACGCCACCAGGGGCUCCCACGCUCCAGUCGCCACGGCCACGACCUCUUCCUCUGGCUGCUGCCAGGCCUCCAAAGCCGUCUCUUUCCUGGAAAGAUCACAGGGCUGUAGCGACCUCUGCCACUGCCACAGCACCACUGCUCCUCUCUUUUCCAGGGAGGAGGUUAAGUGACAGGAUGUAAUCAAUGCCACCCAUCAGAACCUAGCACCUUUCCACACUUCCCAUUCUGAAGGGCUCUUUCAAGCCAGAAUUAACACCGAUCACAGGUGUAUCUGGGGAGGACCUGUGCAGACGAACACACGUGGUUACAUAAACAGCUCAAAUGUAUCCAACAGAAAUAGGCAGACACAAACUCCAAGGCUGAAGCCCAGCGGCCUUUCUCCCUGGAGCUUUCCUCACUGGGCCCCGAUCUACAGGCAUCAAGAACUGCUUUCUCCCUUGCAGCUGAGGCCCCUCUUUCCUGCGGCGGACACAUACUGGGCCUAUGGGAAGUCAGAUAUGCACAGCCUGCUGACCCUCCCCAACCAGGCACUGCUAUGAGUCACAACACCUGGCACUCCAGUCAGCAAGAAGGAUAAACGGAUUUUACUCAGUUUUAGAAAACUUCUUGGCUGUUGUGCCCCCAAGCAGCAGCAGCAGUAACAGGUUCAAGAGUGACCAUUCAGGGAUACUUCAGAAGGGAGGAACAGAGGGAACCUGCCAAGGCCUCCUCCCCAUGUGGGGCUGGAGAAGUCUCUGAGGCAUUCUCCCACUGUUCACCCAGCAGAGAGAAAAACCUAAAUCUAACAGCGGACAGAGGAAGAGCCCUUUCAUUGAGACAGCAGCAAGUCUCAUUCCAGCCGCUGUCCGCGGAGUCAUUUUGGAGCUGCAGUAUUUAAACUCUCUUAAAUGUGGAGGGUGAACCUGGUCAAGCUAAGAGCUAUUUCAUGGAAGGGAGAAGCUGCACAGACUUUUCAACACAUGAAGAAAUGUUGGGCAAAACCUGCUCAUGUUGAUUAAGAGUAAAGUGAACGUUUACCCAGAAUCUAAACCAGCAGAAAGCUGAGACAAUUGGAGUGCUUUUCCCCCGCACUCUGCUCUUAUGAGACAACUGCCAAGUAAACAAGGCAAUUUUAGAAUGGAUGUUCACACACGCACAGGAGCGCACAGUCAACUUUCUGGGUAUGCCACAGAUCUCGAAGAAAAGGUUUUCUCCCAAACAUCUCGCAGCCUCUGCAGUGCAAGGUUCAUAAACUUUUUUUGAGACAGAGUUUUGCUCUUGUUGCCCAGGCGGGAAUGCAAUGGCAGGAUCCUGGCUCACUGCAACCUCCGCUUCCUGGGUUUAAGCAAUUCUCCUGCCUCAGCCUCCUGAGUAGCUGAAACUAUAGGCAUGCGCCACCACGCCCGGCUAAUUUUGUAUUUUUAGUAGGGACGGGUCUCACCAUGUUGGUCUUGAACUCCUGACCUCAGGUGAUCCACCUGCCUUGGCAUCCCAAAGUGCUAGGAUUACAGGCGUGAGCCACCACGUCCAGCUAAUUUUGUAUUUUCAGCAGAGACAGGGUUUCACCAUGUUGGUCAGGCUGGUCUCGAACUCCUGACCUCAGGUGAUCCGCUUGCCUCGGCCUCCCAAAAUGCUGGGUACAAGAGUGAGCCACCGUGCCUGGCCAAGGUUCAUAAACUCUUGCUACAAAAAAAGGAUGUUAGAGAUCAUUUAGAGCAGGGGUGUUCAAUCUUUUGGCUUCCCUGGGCCACACUGGAAGAACUGUCUUGGGCCACCCAUAAAAUACACUAACAUUAAUGAUAGCUGAUGAGCUUAAAAACACACACACACACACACACACACACACACACACACACACACAAAAUCUUGUAACAUUUUAAGAAAGUUUAUGAAUUUGUGUUGGGCUGCAUUCAAUGCUGUUCCUGGGCUGCGUGCAGCCCACAGGCUGAACGAGCUUGAUUUAGUGGCCGUUUUAUAAACUUGUCUAAUCUUAAGAAUUGCCUGGGUCUCUAGUGAAGACCCAAGACCCUCCCUUGGAAAUGCUGAUUCAGUAGAUCUGGGGUGGGGGCCUACACAUUUGUAAUUUGAGUAAGAACCACCAGAUGGCUCUUAGGGGAUCACAUAGAGAGCACUGCCUGGUGCAAAGCACCCUGAGUCUGCUGCUGGGAACACCAGACCCAGAGGUUCAAAGGCAGCUCCAAGGUCACAUGACUGAUGGCAGAGCUGGGACUAUAAUUUCCAAUCUCUUGCUUUAUUCUUCCGUUCUGGUCAUUCUCAAAUGUAUCCUCAGUCCUACCAUCAGUUAUAGGGGUUCCUAGCACUGUCACACAGGCUGGCUCACAGUCCAAAGAUGUGCAUGAAAUCAAGUGCAUGAAGGCAGCUUUAGGACUUUGGAGGACCCUGAAGUGUCUUCUACCACUAAGACUGGAUUUCACUAACACAGAUUAACAUUAAAUACACUUGAUUAUUUGAAACUUGGCGACCAAUCUCCAUGGUAUUUCCCCACAUGGUUUAAAUAGCCAGAAACUUACUGUGUAAAGGCAAUCUAGAUGGUGAGGUAAAUAAAGGCAGAAUAAUUAAUGAGCAGAAAAAAAUACCAAGAAGGCAGGAAAGAGGCUGAUGUAGAGAAACUGCUGGUUUCCCAUAAUGUGACUUGAGACGCCUCAGGGUGACAGCUCUAUGGUGCUGCACCGAGAGCCCCGGGUAGCACUUUCCACUUCUGCAGCCCAAACACUCACACUCUGCAGAGCUGGACCCACCUGGGCUGUAAGAAUCAGCUCGCUGAUGAUAUGCGCUGCAUGCUGACACCGAUCCGGAGGGCCCAUGACCUGGGCAGCUCUUUCUGGACUAAUCCCAUCAUCUGAGGAGCCAGGUGAGAGACAGGAUUAGAAAAAAGCCCAACGUUAGAAGGAAACAAGGAUUAAUCUGAUUCCCAAUCAAUAUUCUCACCCGCGGUGCCAAAAGGGGCAACAGGAAUACUGCCAGCUGCAGGGACUCUUUUGGAGUGAUGUGGGUGAUAGGAAAAUGUGUGUCAUUAUAUUGUUUUGCAUGUUUCAGGUCAAUGCUCAAUUCUUAUGCAAUUAUAGCCAUUUAAAAAAUGUAUCAUUAAAGAACUAAAACAAAGCUUGACUUUAAAAAAGCCAAGGGAGUCAGAGCAGAGCUAUGGCAACAGCUUCCAGAGAAGAGCCUGCCAUGUUUUCCUCUUUUCAGACCA